GGACUACCCGGGUAUCUAAUCCUGUUUGCUCCCCACGCUUUCGCGCCUUAGCGUCAGUUCCGAGCCAGGUAGCCGCCUUCGCCACCGGUGUUCUUGUGUAUAUCUACGAAUUUCACCUCUACACACACAAUUCCACUACCCCCUCUCGGCCUCUAGCCUCACCGUAUCAAAUGCAAUCCCCAGGUUAAGCCCAGGACUUUCACAUCUGACGUGUCAAGCCGCCUACGCGCCCUUUACGCCCAGUAAUUCCGAACAACGCUAGCCCCCUUCGUAUUACCGCGGCUGCUGGCAC
rnacentral:rRNA from 1 species